rnacentral:rRNA from 1 species
GACGAACGCUGGCGGCGUGCCUAAUACAUGCAAGUCGAGCGAAGUUUUUCUGGUGCUUGCACUAGAAAAACUUAGCGGCGAACGGGUGAGUAACACGUAAAGAACCUGCCUCAUAGACUGGGACAACUAUUGGAAACGAUAGCUAAUACCGGAUAACAGCAUUAACUGCAUGGUUAAUGUUUGAAAGUUGGUUUUGCUAACACUAUGAGAUGGCUUUGCGGUGCAUUAGCUAGUUGGUGGGGUAAAGGCCUACCAAGGCGACGAUGCAUAGCCGACCUGAGAGGGUGAUCGGCCACACUGGGACUGAGACACGGCCCAGACUCCUACGGGAGGCAGCAGUAGGGAAUCUUCCGCAAUGGGCGAAAGCCUGACGGAGCAACGCCGCGUGAGUGAAGAAGGAUUUCGGUUCGUAAAGCUCUGUUGUUAGGGAAGAAUGAUUAUGUAGUAACUAUACAUAGUAGAGACGGUACCUAACCAGAAAGCCACGGCUAACUACGUGCCAGCAGCCGCGGUAAUACGUAGGUGGCAAGCGUUGUCCGGAAUUAUUGGGCGUAAAGCGCGCGCGGGUGGUUUAAUAAGUCUGAUGUGAAAGCCCACGGCUCAACCGUGGAGGGUCAUUGGAAACUGUUAAACUUGAGUGCAGGAGAGAAAAGUGGAAUUCCUAGUGUAGCGGUGAAAUGCGUAGAGAUUAGGAGGAACACCAGUGGCGAAGGCGGCUUUUUGGCCUGUAACUGACACUGAGGCGCGAAAGCGUGGGGAGCAAACAGG